CCUACGGGUGGCUGCAGUGGGGAAUAUUGGACAAUGGGGGGAACCCUGAUCCAGCCAUGCCGCGUGUGUGAAGAAGGCCCUCGGGUUGUAAAGCACUUUCAGUGAGGAAGAACGCCUGGUGGUUAAUACCCAUCAGGAAAGACAUCACUCACAGAAGAAGCACCGGCUAACUCCGUGCCAGCAGCCGCGGUAAUACGGAGGGUGCGAGCGUUAAUCGGAAUUACUGGGCGUAAAGCGCGCGUAGGUGGCUUGAUAAGCCGGUUGUGAAAGCCCCGGGCUCAACCUGGGAACGGCAUCCGGAACUGUCAAGCUAGAGUGCAGGAGGGGAAGGUAGAAUUCCCGGUGUAGCGGUGAAAUGCGUAGAGAUCGGGAGGAAUACCAGUGGCGAAGGCGGCCUUCUGGACUGACACUGACACUGAGGUGCGAAAGCGUGGGUAGCAAACAGGAUUAGAUACCCGAGUAGUC
rnacentral:rRNA from 1 species